CGAACUGUUCGUUUGCAGUUGUGGUUAGAUUCAUCUCUUUAAAUAUAUUAAACUUGCUCAUAAAUAAGUGAUUAUUUUAUUUUUGCUUCUUGUUAUUCGCGGAAAUAUAACUAUGUAUAUCUAUUUCGUUUGUGAAUCCUACAUGGUUACAUUAUGUUCUUGUCUGCACAUGCAAAGGAAGAUGUCAGUUUGUUUGCACAGUAGUGCAGCAUUGCACCUGGAUGCAAUUGAAUAUCUGGGGUUCAUCCAUGUCCACUGGUCUUCCUUCCUUUGGGAAGAAGGGGAACUGUUGUAAAUGUUGGGUAAAUUAGUCUCUCAACACAGAGACAGAGAGCAAAUAAAAUACGAGUUUAUGUUAAUUCCAGUGUUGGGUUAAGAGAAAGAAUCGAGAUGGGAAAGUCAUGUUUGGCAAUGUUUGCUGCUAAAAUAUUUGGUGUCUUGUGAAAAUCCUACUAAAAUGGAAAUGAAAUCAGAGUUAAGAAUUGUGAAAUCACAUUGUUGGCUUGAGAGAGAAUCGGGAUGGGGGUGGUCUUAUUUUCUGAGGGGAAGCUUGAUGUUUUAGGAAGAUUGUUCAUUAGGGAAGAAAUAACAUCUGUAAGAAAAUUCUGUUUCAGCAGCCAUUGAUAAUGAAUCUGUGGACAAAUAUCUGAGAAUCUCAUGGAGAGUUCGAUCCUGGCUCAGGAUGAACGCUGGCAGCAUGCUUGCUGCGAUUUUUUGUUUUGCUGCAAAUAAUUUUCUUGCCUUUUAAAAACUCACAAAUUCAUUUGUUGUGCAUUUAGCUCAUUUGCCUGAUAAUGGAGGAGCAAUCAUAUUGUUGGCAAAAGGAGACAAGUUCUAACGAAAAAAAAAGAAGCAAAUUUGAAAUAAUGAAUCACAAAAAGUUAAACCUGAGGGGGAAAAAACCUGGAGAGUAGCAAAUGAG
rnacentral:misc_RNA from 1 species